UCGAUAGAUAGAGAGCUUCCUUGAGUCCAUUCACAGGUUGUGAUAUGAUCCAAUUAGCUUCCGAAUCAUUCAUCCAAAUACUGAGUCACCAAAAUUCAAACUAAACUCGUUAAAUGAAUGUAUGAUGCGGUAGACAAAUUGGGUUAUUGAUUCUCUAUGAUUGGACUGAAGGUAGCUCCCUCCCCUUUUUGA
rfam:Brassica oleracea var. oleracea cultivar TO1000 chromosome C3, whole genome shotgun sequence